UACGGAGGGUGCAAACGUUGCUCGGAAUCAUUGGGCGUAAAGCGCGUGUAGGCGGCCGAAUAAGUCAAAUGUGAAAGCCCGGGGCUUAACUCUGGAAGUGCGUUUGAAACUGUUUGGCUUGAGUACGGGAGAGGGUAGUGGAAUUCCCGGUGUAGAGGUGAAAUUCGUAGAUAUCGGGAGGAACAUCAGUGGCGAAGGCGGCUACCUGGACCGAUACUGACGCUGAGACGCGAAAGCGUGGGUAG
rnacentral:rRNA from 1 species